UUGUUUGCCAACUGCCUGUCUAAGCCAUUCCUUUGGGUUGCGAUUCCAUCCAUUAGAGUCUAGUCAUCUAGCAGGUGAUCAAGUUCCUCUGUGGUGUUCCACUCUUCCAUUUGGCCAAAUGGGUGCUGGGAUUUGUGGACAGGCAGUUGGUUUUGGCAUGAUAUAUGAUAUCAACCACAACAAAAGGCCCUUUCAGAAAAGAAUCUCGACCUACUCAAAGAUUGCACAAGAGCCUCCUUUAGAUGGAAAACUAUUUGCCCGUGGUGAGCGAGGCAAAAGGUUCAUCAUCCAUCCAUCCAACCAACCAACCAAUUGAAGCCAUUCCGAUGGGCCUCACUUAAACAAGACUUAUCAGAUCAUUCAAAACAGUUGGACCAGAGGAUGAUAAUUCACGUCGUUGGGAGUGCCACCCACAAAGUCAGUGAAUCAUAUUCUUUUUUGAGGGGAAGGAUGUCAUUUCCAGUCGUCACGCAACAUUGCCAAAAAUAUAUUAUCAUGGACAUUUUA